GAUGAAGAACGUAGCGAAAUGCGAUAAGUAAUGUGAAUUGCAGAAUUCAGUGAAUCAUCGAAUCUUUGAACGCACAUUGCGCCCAUUAGUAUUCUAGUGGGCAUGCCUGUUCGAGCGUCAUUACAACCCUUAAGCCUAGCUGCUUAGCGUUGGGAACUUAGCCUCCAAAGCUAAUUCCUUAAAGACAUUGGCAGAGUUGCGGCAUACUCUAAGCGUAGUAAUUUAUUCUCGCUUCUGAAGGUGUCGUGACGAUCGCCACAAACCUCUACAUUUCUAGUGGUUGACCUCGGAUCAGGUAGGAAUACCCGCUGAACUUAAGCAUAUCAAUAAGCGGAGGA
rnacentral:misc_RNA from 1 species